rnacentral:lncRNA from 1 species
GAACACGGCCGAGGAAGUGGUUCUUACGAGCGCCGCUGGGGCUGCCCAUCCUCUUGUCGUUGUAGACCUCGACAUCGAGCUCCUGGGCGACCAUGGAAGCGGGGUUAGCCACGGCGAACUCGAGGCGCUCGUUCCACUGCGGGUUGAGGUCGCGGGCGACGGUGUGGGUUCGCUUCCGCUGGCCGUCGAAUUCGACGAUGACGAACGGGCUGGAGGUGCCAUGGCCGUCCUUGGGGACGAGGUCGCGGGCGUCGAUGACCUCGACGGCGAGUUUGCUGACGGUGUGGGCCGGCGGGCUCGUCAUGGUCUCAUGUCGAGCCAGGCCGAUGGGAGGAG